rnacentral:rRNA from 1 species
UAGGGAAUCUUCCGCAAUGGACGCAAGUCUGACGGAGCAACGCCGCGUGAGUGAAGAAGGAUUUCGGUUCGUAAAACUCUGUUGUUAGAGAAGAACAGCGCAUAGAGUAAAUGUUAUGCGUGUGACGGUAUCUAACCAGAAAGCCAUGGCUAACUACGUGCCAGCAGCCGCGGUAAUACGUAGGUGGUAAGCGUUGUACGGAUUUAUUGGGCGUAAAGCGAGCGCAGGCGGUCAAUUAAGUCUGAUGUGAAAGCCCCCGGCUCAACCGGGGAGGGUCAUUGGAAACUGUUUGACUUGAGUGCAGAAGAGGAGAGUGGAAUUCCAUGUGUAGCGGUGAAAUGCGUAGAUAUAUGGAUACACACCAGUGGCGAAGGCGACUCUCUGGUCUGUAACUAACGCUGAGUCUCGAAAGCGUGGGUAGCAACCCGG